UGCGUAGGUGGUUGGUUAAGUUUGAGGUGAAAGCUCCGAGCUCAACUCGGAAAAUGCCUUGAAGACUAUCUGACUAGAGGAUUGGAGGGGAGAUUGGAAUUCUCGGUGUAGCAGUGAAAUGCGUAGAUAUCGAGAGGAACACCAGUGGCGAAGGCGAACCUCUGGACAAUUCCUGACACUGAGGCACGAAAGCCAAGGGAGCAAACG
rnacentral:rRNA from 1 species